rnacentral:rRNA from 1 species
GAUGAACGCUGGCGGCGUGCCUAAUACAUGCAAGUCGAGCGAAGCGGGGACGGGGGAGUAACACGUGGGUAACCUCCUAUAAGACUGGGAUAACUUCGGGAAACCGGAGCUAAUCCCGAUUCUUAUACAUGGAUCCGCGCUGCAUUAGCUAGUUGGUAAGGUAACGGCUUACCAAGGCCACGAUGCGUAGCCGACCUGAGAGGGUGAUCGGCCACACUGGAACUGAGACACGGUCCAGACUCCUACGGGAGGCAGCAGUAGGGAAUCUUCCACAAUGGGCGAAAGCCUGACGGAGCCACGCCGCGUGAGUGAAGAAGGUCUUCGGAUCGUAAAACACUGUUAUUGGGGAGGCGGUACCUAAUCAGAAAGCAACGGCUAACUCCGUGCCAGCAGCCGCGGUAAUUC